UUAGUGGAUCGCUAAUCGUUAUCGAGGGAGCACUCGAUCGUUAGGGGGGGUCUCGCCCCCCCUCGUCCCCCCUUAGAAUCGUCCCUGGUGCCGACACCCCUCUCCAUCUCCGACUGCUGCUACUCGUGACACGGCGGCACGGAUCUGACGUCUCCCGGCCAUCUCGACGCGGCAGCCCAUGGAAUCCGAGCGAUGAAGGGGCCUCGCCAUGGCCUUCGUUCUCCACUUAUUCGUCCUCUCAUCCGUGGCAGCUAGAUCUUGUAGGCCUCAAGCACCACCACCAACAGGAUCCAGGCGAGCGUACGGCUGCUCCUCCACCGUCCCGUCACCCGCCGUCCAACGGGCGAGACCGAGUUCUCCGAGCACCGCCACUUGAUGUGCAGGUAAAGAUGUACCUCCGUUUGCAUAAGAGAAUGUUCCCCAAUUAAAGACAAAUACUCCCCCGUUCCUAUAUAGAAGCCCUUUAGAGAUUUUAAUAUGGACUACAUACGGAGGAAAAUGAGUGAAUCUCACUCUAAAAUAUGUCUAUAUACAUCCGUAUGAGUCCCUAGGAACAUCUCAAAAAGGCUUAUGUUUAGAAACAGAGGGAGUACAUGAUAGUACAUCAAGUGUCUUAAUUUUCGUACCACAACUAAUAUUUGAACUUUUGCUUUUCCCGAAACUCUCGGGUGUAGCAUGCGAGAUUUACAAAAUGGUUUGGGAAUUUAGAAUUGAUCUACGCAUUGGAGUGUAACUGUAGUUGGAGUAACCAUACACAGAUGGACAUUAUAAUUUAACACCUCAAAACAAUGGUCCAGCAAAUUCUUCCCCUGAUGUCAGCUUUUGUGGCUUGAGUAAGCGUCAACGGCAUCCAGGCCCAACAAUAAUCACACAAGAGCAAUCAAUGGUGGCAGAUUUUUGCAUAAUGUAACUUGAAUUAUGAUGUGACUGUUCGAUUUAAUUAUGUAUCUUGCUAUUUUUGCAACAAUGUUUCUGAAUAAUGUAACUUCAAAUGACUUCCUUGAAACUCACCUCUGAAUAAACAAAUUGGCGCAUCUCAUACUCA